UGGGCAUGAUAUUUCACAGCAGCGGUGGAGGAAAGAAAGCCAUAAUGUUUUGGAAACACGUGAGGGCUCAUUGUGGUCUCUGUCUAUCUGGGAUUCGGGAUGAGUGCCAGCAAACGCUGGAUAAACAGAGAUGUCUAUGAAAAUCCCUCAAGCAUUGUGGAUGAGAGAUGCUGCUGCUGUAAUGUGAAGGUGACUGACUGUACGCUUGAUUCAUCGCUGAUGGAGAGAUACUGUUAUUCCAAGGCUGGAUAAUAAAACACAGAAUGCACAACCUGGAGAUCGUUCAACUCUUUUCUACACACACCGACAAACACAACACUGGGUUCAAAGUGUAGUCAGACUCUCUCUCACAAUUAUUCAGAUCAUCUGAAGACUCUGACAUUCACUUAUUAUUUACCACAUCAACAGCACUUCACACCGAUGAGAUGAUACACUAUAGAUGAAUCACUUUCAUCGUCACAUUCACCACAAGCUGAAGAAGAUCUCACGGCUUCCGUCUUAUAUAAGGUGCUCUGGACAUAAACACAGGAUGUAUGUGCAUAUAAACCCCACGAAGCACUGGAUCUGGUGGAGGAUAAUGGUGUGUGUUGGCACAGCUGUGUGUAACAGCCCCACCAGCGCUCCGCUCUUUUAUCUCCUUCUGUAAUGUGCACAGGUGCUGCUUAAUUCAAUUGGAAAACGUUGCCAUGGUUUUACAUUAAUAUGUUUCUAUGUUGCCGGCGCAUUGGUUGUCAUGGAGAUGAUGGGACUUAUUUAAGCUGAAACCUCAGCUUUGGUUGGAAGGAAAGGGGGGGGGAAAACACGAGAGAAAAGAAGAGAGAGAAGUCUGUGUGUGUUUUCAUCUCAUUAGAUUUAGAUUUGUUUUUUAACCCACAGUCAAAAGAAAAAAUUGCUACAAAACGGAUCUGUGCCACACAAGUCUUAUUGUGUUUCAUUAGAGAAAGUGAAACAAGCUUUCAGUUUAAUUAAAUGACUUGCAGAGAGCAGCACAUCCUUUCAUAACCCGUGAUUGCUCUCCUGAGCUCUCUGCAAAACCACACCACGAGCUCUUUCUACAACAUGUUGUGAGCAUUUAUUGUAUUCUGUUGAGGGUUUCGGGCAGGUUUCUAUUUACACGGUACAUCCGAGCACGCACUUUAAUUGUCUCACAAUGAAAUAAGCAAUAGCCGGUUAGAAGAACUCCAUAACCUCAGGUGGAUGCGAGCGAGGGUCUGUUAAAGGCAACAUGAAACGGCAUCGACAACACAACAGUGAAUCGAUUUUAUGUUGACUUCAAAGCAAUAGUUCACCCCAAAACUGAAGCUGGCUGAAAAUGUCCUCACACUCAGGUCAUCCAAGAUGUAGAUGAGCUUGUUUCUUCAUCAGAUUUGGAGAAAUGUAGCAUUGCAUCACUUGCUCGCAAAUGGAUGUGAAUGGGUGCCGUCAGAAUGGGAGUCCAAACAAUCCACAAGUAAUCCACACCACUCCAGUCCAUCAGUUAACAUCUGGAGAAGACAAAAGCUGAAACAAAUCCAUCAUUAAGGUGUUUUUAAAUAAAAUAUGAGUCUAUAAUCCAUAAUAACACUUCCUCCAGUGAAAAAGUUCAUCUCCUGUUGUCACUCACAUCAAGCCACAUAUUUGUUUAGAGCUGUUUUAGCUUGUGAACGGUACUUGAUCUGUGCAGAUUUCUCUCCUGAUUCAGACCAGACCACUUUUUCACUGGAGGAAGCGUUAUUAUGGAUUAUUGACUCAGUUUUAAGAUAAAAAUGUCUUCAUAGUGGAUUUAUUUAUUACAAACACCCAGCUUGUCUUCUCCAGAUGUGAACUGAUGGACUGGAGUGGUGUGGAUUGCUUCUGGUGUUUUUAUCAGCUGUUGGUACUCUCAUUCAGACGGCACCCAUUCACUGCAGAGCAUCCAUUGCUGAACAAGUGAUGCAAUGCAGCAUUUCUCCAAAUCUGAUGAAGAAACAAACUCAUCUACAUCUUAGAUGGGCUGAGGGUGAACACAUUUUCCGCGAAAGUGAGAUUACUGACGAAAACAUGCUUUACACUGUUUGACGAUUUGUGUAGAUUUACUUGAAUAAAUGUCCAUCUGAGUUCAUUAAAAACAAACAGAUGGUGAGUUAAAUUUUCUUUACUAGUUUAGCUGAGGAUGGGUUAAUAAUGGAGGUCUACAUACAAGGCUGUUUUCUCAUUUGUAAAUGCAAUAGUUCAACAAGAAAAAAUGAGAAUUAAUUUCCUCACCCUAAAAAGACGUUGCACUAAAUUUGGUGCCAAUGAUAUGAAAGGCCAGAGAGAACCGAUCAUGAAGGCCACUGGUCACAAUAUGCUUGCAAUGAAUGCAAAAGAGCAUCGUAAACAACACUGUUCUCUAUUUCUCUGCUCCACUGAAGAAAGUCAGUCUUAAGCACAUGUCAUCUCAUUGGGUUUCAGCUGCUUCUGACAGAUACAAAAUGAACUUGAUUUUCAUACUCCCAAAUAUGAUGAAAUUGGAAAAGAGUUCAAUACUAAAGAUAAAGUGGGAUUAUUGCAUUGCACUCUAAAGCCUAUGAAAUAAGAAUCAAAUGAAGUUAUCAUUUUUCAGCUAUUUAUGAGUAGUAUUAGAGUGCAAUGUAAUCCUUCUGCUAGAGUGUCUCUGCAUAAUUAUUAUACAAAGGCAGAAAAUCAGCUCAGACAUCUAUCUGAAGUGGGAAGACAAUCCCAUUGGUGAUGCUAGACAGACAGACAGACAGACAGAUACACAGGCUGACAGAUACACACAGACAGAAAGACAGAUACAGACAGAUAGACACAUACAUACAGACACAGACAGAUAAACAGACAGACAGACAGAAAGACAGAUGCAGACAGAUAUAGACAUAAAGAUAGAUACAGACAGACCACAGACAUACAGUGACACAGACAUAGAGAGACAAACAUAGACAGACAGAUUCAGACAGAAAGAUACAUAGAGACAGACAGAUACAGACAGACAGAUACACAGACAGACACACACACACACACACACACACACACACACACACAGACAAAAAGACAGUUACAGAAAGACCACAGACAGACAGACAUAGAAAAACAAACAAAGACAGUCAGACAGAUACAGAUAUAGACAGAAAGAUACAUACAGAGACAGACAGACAGACGGCCUUGAGGAUCUAAUUUUAGUGAUGAUGGCUUUGUUGUGAACAUCUGCAGUUGGUAAAUGUGCUUUAUACUCGUCCAUGUGCAAGAUCUGAUUACUAAUAAAAGAUGAGCCUUAACUGAGUGUGUAUUUAACUGGUUCACUAACAACAGUUCAGCCACAAAAUGCACCAUGAAUCUGUUUAAUUGACUGUUUUAUUGAUCAAUAUAAUUUAAAGUUGUAAAUCAAAAACACCCAGUUGUGUUCUUGUUAGCUGAAUUUAUUCCAUUAAUAUAACAGAAUAAUAAUGGUAUAUAUAUAUAUAUAUAUA
ensembl:lncRNA